CUUUCUCUUCCACAACAGCAAUCUAAUAUCCGCCUUUGUGUAAGAGAUAAAUCAGAGCCACUAGCAAAUAAUGGACAGUGAACAAUUCUGAAUGUUACCUCUGUGUGGCUGUGAAAAUGAAGAAAACACUUGGGAAAUCUGGGAGGAAGAACAUAUAUAAUCCAAUCCAGAUUAAGCAAUAUGAGACAUUAUGACUUCCUCCAGGAAUCCUUCACGUUCUGAGCUGGAUCCCCUUUGCGUCGUCAUGCUUAUCAGUCUUUGGUAUGGACACUUUGGUGUGCCAGUGAGGAGGGGGAGGAAGAGGAGCAGAGGUGACCAAGUAGGAAAGGAGGAGGAAAGUCUCAGAAGACGGAAGUACUCGCUUGCUAUCAUCUGAGCAGGACAAAAAGGAAGAAGAGUAACGGUCCACAGAGGGGAAAUUUGUCUUGGGUGAUGGCACCGUUUUCUGGAAGGACAACUGCUGCAGGGCAAAAAAGAAAGGAGAAGGGUUAGUUAAGAUGACAAGAUAGAUGCACAGACUUGUGCAAAAUAAACCAAUUGCAGCAGACUGGAAAAUACCGGAUGAAAGUGUGAAUUAAUUUUGGGACAGAUUGAGGCAUGCGCUUACAUUGCUACCUGCUGCUCAAGCAACAAUACUAACUGACCGUUCAUGGA